AUGCGGACAUCCCACUAGCAAGCCAGCAUCACAUGAGCCAGAGCUGGAUCCAGAGGCCGGGAUAAGAACAUCUCCUGUGGCACAGAAGCAAGAACCAGGCGCGCAGCCAGGAGAGUGUCAGUACCUUACUCCAUGAAUACACGGAAGUGCAGCACGUCUCCAGACCAGACAUACAGGCUCAGCUGGAAAGUUGAGCUACCCUGGAUUAAUUGGCUCUGGGCGUG
rnacentral:lncRNA from 1 species